GCACCCUUAGGGGUUGCAUACGAUAAAUUUGGAACGAUACAGAGAAGAUUAGCAUGGCCCCUGCAUAAGGAUGACACCAUGAACUAGUCGAGGUAGACCUACGGGUCUAAUAUGUUUUU
rfam:Tilletia controversa strain DAOM 236426 scaffold_513, whole genome shotgun sequence.